UUUCCGUAGGUGAACCUGCGGAAGGAUCAUUAUUGUAUAACCGAGGUGCGAGGGCUGUCGCUGACCCGAAAGGUCGUGCACGCCCGAGGGCCCUCACACACAUCCAUCUCACCCCUAUGUGCACCACCGCGUGGGUCCCCCUUUGGCUUGUGCGGAGGGGGGCUUACGUUUUCACACAAACUUUGUAUGCAGUGUAGAAUGUAUUUUUUGUUUUUGCGAUCACGCAAUCAAUACAACUUUCAACAACGGAUCUCUUGGCUCUC
rnacentral:misc_RNA from 1 species